CAGGCCGCCGCCAUCGGGCCAUCGAACGGAGUUGAAAGAGACCGGAUCUGGUGGUACAAGAGAGCGACGCACGUGAGGGAGAGGAGGCGCCGCUACUGCUACCUCACCGUUGCCGAUUGAUGGAGGGGAAAAACACGUGACUCAGGGAUCCACCCAGGAGGGGCCACUAUUGCCACCGAUGAUGCGAGGAAGAGAAGAGCUACCGCACUAAAGCUGGUCGCUGGAAGAGAGGAGGUGACGGUGGUGGGAGUUGUCAUUACUGUUCUAUCUCUGCUCAUUGAAGAAUAACAAAAAAAUAUUGCUGCAGUUGUAGUUUGAAACCCCAUCUGGUUCUAGUUUUGGUUCUAGCCCGAUUUGUUUAGGCUGGUUUCGGUUCUUCUGAGUGCUGGAGUUGCCGCCGCUGUUCUGUUUCCAUAGGUCCCCUAAUUAUAAGUUGCUGUGGUAGCCGGGAAUUAUCACUGAAGCUGUUGGACUCGCAGUGGUUGCACCCAGGUUGCUGUUGCAUUAUCGGAGGCCGCAGCUAAGGCCUCUGUCUUCUUGGGUUUCAAUUGCCGCGAGUUACUUGGUUGCACGUCGUCGCCUAAAUUAGGCCAAAUUUACUGGACGGAUGCCCGGGUCUGAUUUCUGUUUUUUCUGCCACUGGGGGUAGACACCGAAGCUAUUCUUAAUGAUUCUGGUCGGGUAUCUUUUUCGAUUCUAGGCCAUUUACAUGUUUUACUGUCUUUUCCAUGCUUAUUUUGAUUUAAUUUUUGUAUAUGUCCUUGUCUGGGUUUCUUGAAGCUAUUUCAGCUACUGUAAUUGCAAAUUGUAAUAGUGUUGUCGCUAUAAGAGGCGUCAGAAUUGUUGCUGUUUUCGUUGGGUUAAUGCUGUCACUGUUGCAUGAAUUAAAAGGAAAGGGAAUUGUCACAAUAAGCUUAUGCGAACUCGACUAAUCGAGGGCAGGAAUGGUUUAGAGGAUAGAAAGGAAGCAUGCAAAAGUGGAAGGAAUACAAGAAGUUGAAGGAACUGCAAAGCUGUCCAGCCUGACCUCUUUGCACUCAAACGGUUAUAACUUUUGCUACAGAGGUCCAAAUGGCGCGGUUCUAGUUGCGUUGGAAAGCUAACAUUCGGGGCUUCGAUUUGAUAUAUAAUAUGCCAUAGUGGCCUUGAUGCUAGACGACGCGACCGCAUGCUCCAUGCGGCCGCAUCGCAGUGACGAAAAACCAGCGUGGCAGAUUUCUUCUCCAGCGAUUUCUGGGCUGUUUUCGACCCAGUUUUCGGCCCAGAAAACUCAUAUUAGAGGUUAUAAAGUAGAGGGAUUGCAUCCAUUCAUAAUCAUGCUUUUCAUAAUUCACUUUUCAUAAUUUAGAUGUAGGUUUAGUUGGAGAGAGGUUAUCUCCUCUCUCUUUAGGAUUAGGAUUUAGGACUUCUCUUAGUUUUAGGAGUAACUCUCGAUCCAAGUUCAAUAUUCCUUUUACUUGAUAGUUAUCUCUUAUUUUCAGAUACUUUAAUG